rnacentral:rRNA from 1 species
GACGAACGCUGGCGGCGUGCUUAACACAUGCAAGUCGAACGGAAAGGCCCUGCUUUUGUGGGGUGCUCGAGUGGCGAACGGGUGAGUAACACGUGAGUAACCUGCCCUUCACUUUGGUAUAACUUCAGGAAACUGGAGCUAAUACCGGAUAGGAUCUCCUGCUGCAUGGUGGGCGUUGGAUCGUUUCGGCGGUUGGGGUUGGAAUGGCGGCUUAUCAGCUUGUUGGUGGGGUAGUGGCUUACCAAGGCAUUGACGGGUAGCCGACCUGCGAGGGUGACCGGCGACAUGAGGACUGAGAGACGGCACAGACUCGAAUGGGAGGCAACGGGGGGGAGUAUGACACAAUGGGAGGGAGCCUGAGGCAGCAACGCCGCGGGCGGGAUGACGGCCUGCGGGGUGGGAACCGCAGUCGCCUGAGACGAAGCGUGAGUGACGGUAACGGGAGAAGAAGCACCGGCUAACUACGUG